ACGAAAUUAGAGUAGCAUCCCUCAAGCUUACAACCCUCAACUUAUAGCAAAUUUCCAAUUUCGUUUUCCUUAAAACAUUGCCCCCUCAUAGUUUCUUCUUUAUUAGGUUCUAAAAAUGGGAAAGUUUAUAUGGUUGUGUCAAAUCCGUAGUCUCCUCUUUGUGCUGUUCUUUCUUUCCGUAGUUGAUUGUUGUCUGAAUUGUCUUCCUCGUCUAUUAAUCCAACUCCUUCAUGUUUACCAGAAGACACUUCAGCCUUGCUUCAAUUCAAGAACACUAUGUCCAUUGAUGAUUCUGCUUUUUUUUUUCCUACUGUUAUCCCAAGACAAACUCCUGGAAUGAAAGCACCAACUGUUGCUCAUGGGAGGGAGUCACUUGUGAAAAGGCAACAGGUCAGGUGAUUAGCCUCGACCUUAGUUGCUCUAAGCUUGUUGGCUCCCUUUCUCCAAACACCACCCUUGUUCGCCUUCGAGGACUCAAACGACUUGACCUCUCUUUGAACAAUUUCAGUGCUUCUUCGAUUCCGUCUGGGUUUAAUCAGUUAUCUUACAGGUCCAAUCAAUCAAAUUCAAAAGCCUAAUCAAUUCAAUGGGUUUAUUUGGCGGACAAUGAAAUCCAUGGUGAAAUACUGUUGAGCAUUGGCCUGCAAUGCAACAUGUAACCAGCAGCUCGACAAGCAGACCAGCAAUGGAGCAGAACCAGAUGCAGCAGCUGAUUUGGUCCAUUUUGUUCAUUUUGCUCCUAUGUAACUUAGUUUAGUUUCUUUUGUAACUUGUACUCAAAGUUAGUAGGAUUAUAAUUUGUUUUGAAAUUGAUGUAGUAGCUGAUAUGUCAGCUUGUUUUUUGUGUUACUCAAGUUUGUAUUAGUAUGUAUUAGUGGGAGCAGUUAUGUCAUUAGGUAACUGUUCAAA